rnacentral:rRNA from 1 species
UACAGAGGGUGCAAGCGUUGCUCGGAAUCAUUGGGCGUAAAGGGCAAGUAGGUGGUCUCAUUUGUCUAGGGUGAAAUCCUUGAGCUUAACUCAAGAAGUGCCCUAGAAACGGUGAGACUCGAGUACUGGAGAGGGUCGUGGAAUUCCCGGUGUAGCGGUGAAAUGCGUAGAGAUCCGGAGGAAGACCGGUGGCGAAGGCGGUCUGCUGGGCAGUUUCUGACACUGAGGCGCGACAGCGUGGGGAGCAAACAGG